UACUGCUUUGGGUACUCUUAGGACCCGUCUUGAAACACGGACCAAGGAGUCUAACAUGUGCGCGAGUCAUUGGGACUAGCAAAACCCAAAGGCGCAAUGAAAGUGAAGGUCGGCCCUGGCGCCGACCGAGGGAGGAUGGGCCGCGUCGCGAUGCGGCCUCGCACUCCCGGGGCGUCUCGUUCUCAUCGCGAGCAGAGGCGCACCAAGAGCGUACACGUUGGGACCCGAAAGAUGGUGAACUAUGCCUGGUCAGGACGAAGUCAGGGGAAACCCUGAUGGAGGUCCGUAGCGAUU
rnacentral:rRNA from 1 species